AGUACACUAGGCCACCCACCCUCCCGCCCCUACUAACCCCAAAUAAAAGAAAAUACCUCAAGUUCUCUCUUUUGCAAUUUUGCCCAACCCACCAUCCCCCACGCUCGAAUAAAUGAAAGAAAAGUCCUUAUUUUCUGUACAAAAUUUAUUGUUACUGAGCACGGAGCAACUCGGCGAAGAAUCACAUAAGAUUCUAGAGUCCUCGCUGCGACUAAUCUUCCAUUUAUGUUGAAGUGGUCUUAGGGUUUCGUUCACCUUCUCACCAAGGUUUCUCCCCUGUGUCAAGUGAAAUACUGUGAGUUUUCAUAAUGUAUUUGGUGCCAAUUGCAUUUGCCGACCUUUUGGUGCAUUUCUACUAGGUUGGAGGUUUGAUUGUUGUGGUCCAAUCAUUGAUAGUCCUGGUUAGGUGAUCUUUGCAACAACAGAGGAGCCUUAUUUCAGGUUUGUCCAAAACCUUUCGCUUAGCUUUUUUAUGUUUGGACGCAAAGCUAAACAUCUGGUGAACUCAAAUGCUGAGAGAGAGUAUAAAAUCAAUAAUCUUCUAUUUAUUCUAUUGCCAAAGUGACGAAUUUACAUGUCUUACAGAGUGUGUAUGAUAAAUGAGCUUUUUCAUGUAUACUGUCUCUUAAAUAAAUUAUUUUCUAAACCUCUAUAUUGUUAAUGUGAGACAUCUGACAGAGAUACUCUGUAAAAGCUCAACUGAGUGUUCACCCCCCACCCUCCACCCUCCACCCCCUCUCUUUGCAGUUUGGUGUUAAGGUACAUAUAAAUUUAUUAUAUAGCUGCCUAAAAAAUGAGUAAUUGAUUCUGCUGAAUUUGGUUACCUUGCAUAUGAGACUGAAUAAUAGGCUAUCAAGAAUUUUUGGGGUCGUAAGCUCAGUUUCAAUACCAGUGUGUUGGGUUUAUAUGUUACAUAUAACAUAAUGAAAAUGAAUCUGCAAGGGUUAUAAUUUGCAUUUUUUUCAUUUUAGUUUUCCAUGUCCCAAAUAUCCUCUCAGCCAUUGUUAUUUCUUUUUAGCAAUUACUUUGAUUUUCCAUAAGUUGAACAGAAGAUAGUCGUGCGACCAUAUGGGAUGUAGAAGCUUUAGGAAAAUUUAAGAUGCGCAUUUCUUUCUCAGUUUCCCCAGCAUGUUUAUAGUUACAUAAAUGGAGAAAUGCAGUCCAUUCACUGUACAAAUGGUGACUGUGAUUUUUUUUUUUUUGGGCAACAACUUUAUUUUUUUGGCUAGCUUUUGAAGUUUUUUUGUUGUGAGUUACAGGGGCAUAGCAGUUGAUGCUUGCAUAUGCAGAUUUGUUCCUUGUAUCAUCCAAUCAGUGCAUAUAUUGAAUAUAUUAAUGUCCAGCCUUAUUCAUUUCACUUUUUGCAAUUUUUCCACUACUUUGUGACUUGUAUUAAGGCAUUGGCUUAAUUGUCCUCAUUUUUUGUGCUUGUUGAUUUCUUUCUAGGUUUUACACUAAUAGAUGCCUGCCAUUUUAGAUUAGCCUUAUUAGUGAGAUAAUGCGUGAGAUAUCUUUUAGUUACAAUUUUGUCUUUGGCUAAGUGCAUUUUCCUUUAGUCUAGUUUUAAACAUAACUGCUCAACUACAUAAUCUAUUUCUUUUUUCCUACAAUCUAUCUUGUUGGCAUGAACAAAUUGGAGCAAAAAUGGAGUUUCACGCGAGGCUCUCAUAAACAGUGGGUCAUGGAGUCAAUCAUUCCACCUCUGAAACUUGUACAAACACUAACAAAAUAGUGCUAUUUUAGUUUUUGUUCGCUAGGUGGAGGUUAGUCAUCUCAGUCUUGUUCAUUUAUAUAUAUAUAUUUUUUGCGAACUAUUUAAUGUACUCCAUGAGAAAAUAUAAUAAUUUACUUUGACAGCUUAACUUGGAAAAAUGAGCAUAAUGGGCACCAUUCUUUUACUUUUCAGUAGUUUAAUAUUGGGAAAUGUCUUACUUUAACUGAAAUAAUAAUAAUUAUUAGUACCAAUGCAAAGGUAAUUCAACUAAUUAUAACUAAAUAUUAAUUAUCAUGAUUGUGUCUCUCUUUAUUGAAAGCUAGUUGACCAAAAUGAUGCUACUUUAAAUUUCAAACUGUAUGAGGAAGUGACAGAGUGAGUACUGCAGUUGUUUGGUGUUUCAGUUUAACAAAACAUUUUAAACGAAAAACCAAAAAUCGAAUCUUUUAAAUUUUAAACUGAAACCGAUCAAAUAAUCGAAUAAACUGAAUUUCUCUGGUUUAAACUGUUUAAUGCCCACCCUAACAUAGAACACUAGAAAUACUAGAAAUCAAAGCAGUAACAAAAGUUUGGUUAUAAAAUGAAGUUUGGUAUAUGAACAACAAUUAACUAGGAGAAAAGAAAAGAAUAUUAUUCUUUUUUCUAUUUUAUGGAGAUAUCACUUCUAUCCUUAGCCAAUGGCGGAUGGCGGAUGGUGGAUGGCGGCUAUCUUUCACCUUUAAACUGUUGUCUUUCAUUUGUAUCUUUGUGGGAUUAAAGAAAGUUAUUUUCUAGUAUAGAAAUUGUGGGAGUGGUUCUCUCCAGCUUCUUUUGAUUCUGGAAAAAUCAGGAAGAGACACCUCAAGUUGUUUGCUGAUCGAGAAUUCAAAGUUGAAGAACCUGUCCUUGAAGAAAGUGUUAAGCAAGUUGAAGUGGAGAGGUUCUUUUGUUUUGUUAGGGAUGGUUCAAAGACAAUGUCUUAUGUACAUAUUCCUCAAUUUUGUUCUCUCAUUUUAGAAAUUGAUAAAAAUGAUGCCGUACAAUUUGGAUGGAUAUUUUCUGGUAAUAUGAUGUUUUAGUUCUUUGUAUUAACAAUGAAAUUUAUAUGAAUAUAGAUUAUUGUUCUACU